rnacentral:rRNA from 1 species
GGCGGUGUAUCUUAGGCAUGCAAGUCGUGCGAGAAACCAGCCUUUUGGCUGGGAGUAAGGCGGCGAACGGGUGAGUAACACGUAGAUAACCUACCUCAAAGACGGAGAUAACUCCGAGAAAUCGGAGCUAAAAUCCGAUGUGGUUAAGACCUCACAAGAGGUCUUAACUAAAGUGUGGCCUAUGCUUUUUAGCAAGCUACAGCUUUGAGAUGGGUCUGCGGCCUAUCAGCUAGUUGGUGAGGUAAUGGCUCACCAAGGCUAUGACGGGUAGCUGGCCUGAGAGGGCGGUCAGCCACAGUGGGACUGAGACACGGCCCACACUCCUACGGGAGGCAGCAGCCAAGAAUAUUGGGCAAUGGGCGAAAGCCUGACCCAGCGACACCGCGUGGGGGAUGAAGGCCUUCGGGUUGUAAACCCCUGUCAGGAGGGAUGAAGAAGCAAUAACGAAUAGUUAUUGCUUUUGACAGUACCUCCAGAGGAAGCUCCGGCUAAUUACGUGCCAGCAGCCGCGGUAAGACGUAUGGAGCAAGCGUUGCUCGGAUUCACUGGGCGUAAAGGGCAUGUAGGCGGCAUUACAAGUCAAAAGUAAAAUCCUACGGCUCAACCGUAGAACUGCUUUUGAAACUGUAAUGCUUGAGUUCAGGUGGGGAAAACGGAAUUCCCGGUGUAGGGGUGAAAUCUGUAGAUAUCGGGAAGAACACCAGUGGCGAAGGCGGUUUUCUACCCUGAAACUGACGCUGAGGCGCGAAAGCGUGGGGAGCGAACGGGAUUAGAUACCCCGGUAGUCCACGCUGUAAACGAUGAGCACUAGGUGCUGGAAGUAUUUAAACUUUCAGUGCCGUAGAUAACUUGUUAAGUGCUCCGCCUGGGGACUACGCUCGCAAGGGUGAAACUCAAAGGAAUUGACGGGGGCCCGCACAAGCGGUGGAGCAUGUGGCUUAAUUCGAUGCUGACCGAAGAACCUCACCCGGGUUUGACAUCCCGCCGUCAAGCCUAUCCGAGAGGGUAGGUGAGCCUACCGUAUAGGUAGGCAGGCGGGACAGGAGCUGCACGGCUGUCGUCAGCUCGUGUCGUGAGAUGUUGGGUUAAGUCCCGCAACGAGCGCAACCCCUGCCCUUAGUUGCCAGCGGGUCGCCCGUGGAUGCGGGCGAUGCUGGGGACUCUAAGGGGACUGCCGGCGAGGAGCCGGAGGAAGGAGGGGACGACGUCAAGUCCGUGUGGCCCUUAUGCCCGGGGCUACGCACGCGCUACAAUGGGCGGUACAGAGGGAAGCGACCCCGCGAGGGGGAGCGAAUCCCUAAAACCGCCCCCAGUUCGGAUUGCAGGCUGAAACCCGCCUGCAUGAAGGAGGAGUCGCUAGUAAUCACCUAUCAGCUAUGGGGUGGUGAAUACGUUCCCGGGCUCUGUACUCACCGCCCGUCACGCCAUGGGAGCCGGGGGCGCCUGAAGCUCCACCGAGGGUGGAGUGAAGGCGAACUCGGUGACUGGGGC